UACGUAGGGUCCGAGCGUUGUCCGGAAUUAUUGGGCGUAAAGAGCUCGUAGGCGGCCUGUCGCGUCGGAUGUGAAAGCCCGGGGCUUAACCCCGGGUCUGCAUUCGAUACGGGCAGGCUAGAGUGUGGUAGGGGGAGAUCGGAAUUCCUGGUGUAGCGGUGAAAUGCGCAGAUAUCAGGAGGAACACCGGUGGCGAAGGCGGAUCUCUGGGCCAUUACUGACGCUGAGGAGCGAAAGCGUGGGGAGCGAACAGG
rnacentral:rRNA from 1 species